rnacentral:rRNA from 1 species
AAAACAAGCAGAGGGGGCUUAGUGGUGGGGUGACUGCGUACCUUUUGUAUAAUGGGUCAGCGACUUAUAUUCUGUAGCAAGGUUAACCGUAUAGGGGAGCCGGAGGGAAACCGAGUCUUAACCGGGCGUUAAGUUGCAGGGUAUAGACCCGAAACCCGGUGAUCUAGCCAUGGGCAGGUUGAAGGUUGGGUAACACUAACUGGAGGACCGAACCGACUAAUGUUGAAAAAUUAGCGGAUGACCUGUGGCUGGGGGUGAAAGGCCAAUCAAACCGGGAGAUAGCUGGUUCUCCCCGAAAGCUAUUUAGGUAGCGCCUCGUGAAUUCAUCUCCGGGGGUAGAGCACUGUUUCGGCUAGGGGGCCAUCCCGGCUUACCAACCCGAUGCAAACUGCGAAUACCGGAGAAUGUUAUCACGGGAGACACACGGCGGGUGCUAACGUCCGUCGUGAAGAGGGAAACAACCCAGACCGCCAGCUAAGGUCCCAAAGUCAUGGUUAAGUGGGAAACGAUGUGGGAAGGCCCAGACAGCCAGGAUGUUGGCUUAGAAGCAGCCAUCAUUUAAAGAAAGCGUAAUAGCUCACUGGUCGAGUCGGCCUGCGCGGAAGAUGUAACGGGGCUAAACCAUGCACCGAAGCUGCGGCAGCGAACGUAUCACCCAAGACAACUUUACGGAGUUGACGAUUGACGGAGCGAAGCGACGUCAAAGCGUUCAUUAAAGUCGAGUUGGCUUAGGGAUACGUUCGUUGGGUAGGGGAGCGUUCUGUAAGCCUGUGAAGGUGUGUCGUGAGGCAUGCUGGAGGUAUCAGAAGUGCGAAUGCUGACAUAAGUAACGAUAAAGCGGGUGAAAAGCCCGCUCGCCGGAAGACCAAGGGUUCCUGUCCAACGUUAAUCGGGGCAGGGUGAGUCGACCCCUAAGGCGAGGCCGAAAGGCGUAGUCGAUGGGAAACGGGUUAAUAUUCCCGUACUUGGUGUUACUGCGAAGGGGGGACGGAGAAGGCUAUGUUGGCCGGGCGACGGUUGUCCCGGUUUAAGCGUGUAGGUGUGUGUUCCAGGUAAAUCCGGUUCACUUUAACACUGAGGCGUGA